GAUGAAGAACGCAGCGAAAUGCGAUAAGUAAUGUGAAUUGCAGAAUUCAGUGAAUCAUCGAAUCUUUGAACGCACCUUGCACUCCUUGGUAUUCCGAGGAGUACGCCUGUUCGAGUGUUAUGAAGCUCUCAAAACGCAAUUGGCUUAAAACCUGAUUGUUGUUUUGGAUUUGAACUUUGCCGUGUUAUAACGGCUGGUUUUAAAAGUAUUAGCUGGUACUAGAACGAAUUGGUUCUACUCAACGUGAUAAUUAUCUGAUCGUUGAGGACAUUCCUUUCACGAGGAAUGGCCAUAGUAAAUUCAAUGGACUGCUUCUAAUCUGGCUUUAAUUCUUUAUUGGAUUAACCACUUUUCAAAUCUGACCUCGAAUCAGGUGGGACUACCCGCUGAACUUAAGCAUAUCAAAAGCGGAGGA
rnacentral:misc_RNA from 1 species